GGCAUCCACAACCUCUCUGGGCAAAAUAAAUCGCUCACAGUUUUCAUGGGUGUGUCUUUGAAGAGAACUGAGAUUACAGGGAUGUGGGGAAAGAAAUCAGCAGUAACAUGAUGGAAAAUAGAAAUUCCUUCUCCUCUCUUGACAUAUCUCAGCAACCUAUUAAGAUUGCAGCUCUUCUUCCAGCUCUGGCUGUUUGUGAAAGGAACCAUAGCAAUGCAAAGUUAAUUCUGUGUUUUAUGUCCUGUGUCCUGAGAUCUAGCAAAAGGAAACACCUCAUGAUCCACUCCCUCUGUGCAAUGUAGAAUGCUGCAGCUCUGUGUGGGAACAUCUGCUCCUUUUUUCUGAUCAUUGGAAUCUUAUUGGCUGCUUGGUUGAAAACAUUUCAAACAAGCAGGUAUGCUAAGGGGUAUGUGUGGAUGUCUCAUCUAAUGCAUGGAUAUUAAAUGUGUAUUAUCACGCUUCUUCUUGGUGUGUGAAAUAGAAGAUGCCAGGUGUGAUUCAUGGGUUUGACAGGGGAGUUAGUAAGUUUACCUGAGGACAUUCUGAAACAUCAUGAGGUGUGUUGUAGCUAAAUAUAAAGCAAGGCAAUCUGUGCCAAUCUGGGAAACAGAACUAAUGGUGUGGUGCAGAUAUAGCAGAGACUGCCAGGAGAAGGCAGACAAAUGCUCCCACUGACUUCUUGCAAGCUGUAAAGGCAGUCAGACUUGCCCACAGAUGCAGGGCUGUGACUGGAACUAAUAUUCAGUAUUUGUAGGAGGCUGGGGUGGAGAGGAAGGAUGAUAAGAAGAUGCAAGAAUUCGAACAAAAAGGGGGACAAGUUGUUGAAAGCUGAAGAGGGAUUCCAGAGUACUUAGGGCUUUCCAUUAUGCAUCCAAGAUAAUCGUAACUUGGAAUCAACAUAAAUCAAAGUGGCCAGAAAAUAAAAUUCUGCUGGUCUCCUUUUGGCCUGGCUAAUGAUUUGAAUAGCCAGCUCCUAGCAACAGUUCUGUAACACACAUGAGGCUGAAUGCUUUGUGACAGUACAAUGGUGCUCAGCAGAGCCUAAGGAGGAAAGAUGCAGGGUGUCCUCCAAGAAAGGUGGGACAGUGCCUUGCAAGGGAUAUGGUUUAAUGCAUGUGGAGGGAAUUAGCCAGCCAAAAUAUUUGCUGUGUGGAAUAAUCCACUCUCAACAGCACAGAGCUACUGCUGAAGAUGGCUACAGUAUUAAACUCCUGGUAGUCACAGGCAAAAGAGGUCUUUUCUGAUUUUAACCUGCCUCAGGUCUGGCCUCCAGUUGUGAACAUAGAAGAAUUAUGUUUUGGAACUUGACACUACCCACAGUAAGAAAUCCCCAUAUUUGGGGAUGCUGUUCCGUGCAAGUCCCAGGAUGAAGCCUACGCACUUCAACUGCAGGGGAUGGAUGAAGUGAAUUGCACCACUUCCCAUCACUCAAGACCACCCAUCUGUAAUCAACACUCUCACUGCACCUUCAACCCACAUAUAGCCACCUUGGGGAGCCACAACAUUUGGAGCGUGGAAGUUAGAAAAGUGAAGGCACCUGAGCAACCUGGGGUUUCUACUCUAGUAGAAUCAGAUGUUAAUAAUGGAUUGCACAGAAUGAUUCACACCCUACAUAGUAUUCGUUUCUCACUGGCUACAGGUUUGUCAGGUUAAUCCCACACACUGAUAUUUAUUGCCUAAAUGAAUACACCCGCAGCACAAUCAGAACCAGUCUGCAGGAGACGUUAGUUGGCAUAACUUCACGGACUGUUAACAUCUUCAUUCUUUAUGAAGCAGGUGUCAGUCACAGCUCUGUAUAUGAUUUAUAGGAGAGAUAAAUGCUUUCAACAUCUUCCAGUAGACAGAAUCAAGAAGUAUCUGAGGCUGCGGCAAAGCCAACGACAAUGUCUGACAGUUGCAAACCUGUGUUUACAGAUCUGAAUUGCCCAAUGGCAUUGCUCUUGUUUUACCACUAACAACUCUUGCAAAGUGUAAACUCUUGUUUUAGUUCACAAACAGCUCUUUCAUGUGAAAAAAGCUGAUCAAGAAUGAUGAGCUCUGUGUUACGUCUGAGCUGGACGCUGUCACAGACGUGCGCCAGGUCUCACAUUGUACA